rnacentral:rRNA from 1 species
AUGAACGCUGGCGGUAUGCUUAACACAUGCAAGUCGAACGGACUCUUCGGAGUUAGUGGCGGACGGGUGAGUAACGCGUGAGAAUUUGGCUUCAGGUCGGGGACAACAGUUGGAAACGACUGCUAAUACCGGAUAUGCCGGAAGGUGAAAGAUUUAUUGCCUGAAGAUAAGCUCGCGUCUGAUUAGCUAGUAGGAGGGGUAAAAGCCCACCUAGGCGACGAUCAGUAGCUGGUCUGAGAGGAUGAUCAGCCACACUGGGACUGAGACACGGCCCAGACUCCUACGGGAGGCAGCAGUGGGGAAUUUUCCGCAAUGGGCGAAAGCCUGACGGAGCAAUACCGCGUGAGGGAGGAAGGCUCUUGGGUCGUAAACCUCUUUUCUCAAGGAAGAAGAAAGUGACGGUACUUGAGGAAUAAGCAUCGGCUAACUCCGUGCCAGCAGCCGCGGUAAUACGGAGGAUGCAAGCGUUAUCCGGAAUGAUUGGGCGUAAAGGGUCUGUAGGUGGUACUGAAAGUCUGCUGUUAAAGAAUCACGCUCAACGUGAUCAAAGCAGUGGAAACUAAAAACUAGAGUGCGGUAGGGGCAAAAGGAAUUCCUGGUGUAGCGGUGAAAUGCGUAGAUAUCAGGAAGAACACCGGUGGCGAAAGCGUUUUGCUAGACCGCAACUGACACUGAGGGACGAAAGCUAGGGGAGCGAAUGGGAUUAGAUACCCCAGUAGUCCUAGCCGUAAACGAUGGAUACUAGGCGUGGCUUGUAUCGACCCGAGCCGUGCCGGAGCUAACGCGUUAAGUAUCCCGCCUGGGGAGUACGCACGCAAGUGUGAAACUCAAAGGAAUUGACGGGGGCCCGCACAAGCGGUGGAGUAUGUGGUUUAAUUCGAUGCAACGCGAAGAACCUUACCAAGACUUGACAUCCUGCGAAUCCUGGUGAAAGCUGGGAGUGCCUUAGGGAGCGCAGAGACAGGUGGUGCAUGGCUGUCGUCAGCUCGUGUCGUGAGAUGUUGGGUUAAGUCCCGCAACGAGCGCAACCCUCGUUUUUAGUUGCCAGCAUUAAGAUGGGCACUCUAGAGAGACUGCCGGUGACAAGCCGGAGGAAGGUGAGGAUGACGUCAAGUCAGCAUGCCCCUUACGUCUUGGGCUACACACGUACUACAAUGCUACGGACAAAGGGCAGCUACACAGCGAUGUGAUGCAAAUCUCAGAAACCGUAGCUCAGUUCAGAUCGAAGGCUGCAACUCGCCUUCGUGAAGGAGGAAUCGCUAGUAAUUGCAGGUCAGCAUACUGCAGUGAAUUCGUUCCCGGGCCUUGUACACACCGCCCGUCACACCAUGGAAGUUAGUCACGCCCGAAGUCAUUACCCCAACCGAAAGGAGGGGGAUGCCUAAGGUAGGACUGGUGACUGGGGUGAAGUCGUAACAAGGUAGCCGUACCGGAAGGUGUGGCUGGAUCACCUCCUUUUUAGGGAGACCUACCCAAACAGGAAUCGAAAGCACAGAGCAAAUAGAUACUGAUUUUGGUCUACUCUAGGUCGGUCGAGAAUCGGAAGUCUCUUUCAAAGUAUUAUUAAAGCUCUGGUCAAAUUCAGCACCUAGGAAAGCCCUAGACUGCUGGAUAAAGUCCAGUCAGAACCUUGAAAACUGCAUAGUAACGCGAGGCAGUUCAGUAAUCUAGUGCGAAAGCAACAGAUAAACUGACAGAAAACCAAUGUAAAUGUGGUCAAGCUAAUAAGGGCUAAUGGUGGAUACCUAGGCACACAGAGGCGAGGAA